rfam:Ferrimonas balearica DSM 9799, complete genome.
CUCCGGUCCUCUCGCAAUGCUAAAUCGUUGACCUGGUCAGGCCCGGAAGGGAGCAGCCAAGGCGGUGGACGCAUGUGCCGGGAUGCGGCUGGGGUGC